rnacentral:rRNA from 1 species
GCAUCUCCGUGGGUUUAAAGGAAGCGAUUCCGGCUACGGAUGGUCAUGCGUCGCAUUAGCUAGUUGGCGGGGUAACGGCCCACCAAGGCGACGAUGCGUAGGGGUUCUGAGAGGAAGGUCCCCCACACUGGUACUGAGACACGGACCAGACUCCUACGGGAGGCAGCAGUGAGGAAUAUUGGUCAAUGGCCGCAGGGCUGAACCAGCCAAGUCGCGUGAGGGAUGACGGUCCUAUGGAUUGUAAACCUCUUUUGUCAGGGAGCAAAGGGCGCCACGUGUGGCGCUUUGCGAGUACCUGAAGAAAAAGCAUCGGCUAACUCCGUGCCAGCAGCCGCGGUAAUACGGAGGAUGCGAGCGUUAUCCGGAUCUAUUGGGUUUAAAGGGUGCGCAGGCGGAAUGUCAAGUCAGCGGUAAAAUUUCGGGGCUCAACCCCGUCGUGCCGUUGAAACUGGCGUUCUUGAGUGAGCGAGAAGUAUGCGGAAUGCGUGGUGUAGCGGUGAAAUGCAUAGAUAUCACGCAGAACUCCGAUUGCGAAGGCAGCAUACCGGCGCUCAACUGACGCUCAUGCACGAAAGCGUGGGUAUCGAACAGGAUUAGAUACCCUGGUAGUCCAC